rnacentral:rRNA from 1 species
ACUCCUACGGAAGGCAGCAGUGGGGAAUAUUGCACAAUGGGCGAAAGCCUGAUGCAGCAACGCCGCGUGCGGGAUGACGGCCUUCGGGUUGUAAACCGCUUUCAGCAGGGACGAAGUGGAAAUGACGGUACCUGCAGAAGAAGCACCGGCUAACUACGUGCCACAGCCGCGGUAAU